AUUCAGCUGACGAGUCCCAAAUAGGACGAAACAAGCGUCCUGGAU
rnacentral:hammerhead_ribozyme from 1 species